CGGGUGAGUAACGCGUGGGUAACCUGCCUUAUACAGGGGGAUAACAGUCGGAAAUGGCUGCUAAUACCGCAUAAGCGCACAGAGCUGCAUGGCUCAGUGUGAAAACUCCGGUGGUAUAAGAUGGACCCGCGUUGGAUUAGCUGGUUGGUGGGGUAACGGCCCACCAAGGCGACGAUCCAUAGCCGGCCUGAGAGGGUGAACGGCCACAUUGGGACUGAGACACGGCCCAG
rnacentral:rRNA from 1 species